GACGAACGCUGGCGGCGUGCCUAAUACAUGCAAGUAGAACGCUGAAGGAGGAGCUUGCUUCUCUGGAUGAGUUGCGAACGGGUGAGUAACGCGUAGGUAACCUGCCUGGUAGCGGGGGAUAACUAUUGGAAACGAUAGCUAAUACCGCAUAAGAGUAGAUGUUGCAUGACAUUUGCUUAAAAGGUGCAAUUGCAUCACUACCAGAUGGACCUGCGUUGUAUUAGCUAGUUGGUGGGGUAACGGCUCACCAAGACGACGAUACAUAGCCGACCUGAGAGGGUGAUCGGCCACACUGGGACUGAGACACGGCCCAGACUCCUACGGGAGGCAGCAGUAGGGAAUCUUCGGCAAUGGACGGAAGUCUGACCGAGCAACGCCGCGUGAGUGAAGAAGGUUUUCGGAUCGUAAAGCUCUGUUGUAAGAGAAGAACGAGUGUGAGAGUGGAAAGUUCACACUGUGACGGUAUCUUACCAGAAAGGGACGGCUAACUACGUG
rnacentral:rRNA from 1 species